GAAUAAGCAUCGGCUAACUCCGUGCCAGCAGCCGCGGUAAUACGGAGGAUGCGAGCGUUAUCCGGAUUUAUUGGGUUUAAAGGGUGCGUAGGCUGUUUCAUAAGUUAGUGGUUAAAAUUCCGGGCUUCACCCGGUCUUGCCAUUAAAACUGUGAGACUAGAGUAUAUUUGAGGUAGGCGGAAUAAGUUAAGUAGCGGUGAAAUGCAUAGAUAUAACUUAGAACUCCGAUAGCGAAGGCAGCUUACCAAGCUAAAACUGACGCUGAAGCACGAAAGCGUGGGUAUCGAACAGGAUUAGAUACCCUGGUAGUCCACGCUGUAAACGAUGCUUACCCGCUUUCGGCGAUAUGACCGUCGGAGGCCGAUAGAAAUAUUUAAGUAAGACACCUGGGGAGUACGCCGGCAACGAUGAAACUCAAAGGAAUUGACGGGGGCCCGCACAAGCGGAGGAACAUGUGGUUUAAUUCGAUGAUACGCGAGGAACCUUACCUGGGUUUAAAUGUAUGUUGCAUGAGGUGGAAACACUUCUUUCCUUCGGGACUAUAUACAAGGUGCUGCAUGGUUGUCGUCAGCUCGUGCCGUGAGGUGUCGGGUUAAGUCCCAUAACGAGCGCAACCCCUAUCUAUAGUUGCCAUCAGGUUAAGCUGGGGACUCUGUAGAGACUGCCACCGUAAGGUGAGAGGAAGGGGGGGAUGACGUCAAAUCAGCACGGCCCUUACAUCCAGGGCUACACACGUGUUACAAUGGCCAUUACAGAGGGUCGCUCCAUAGUGAUAUGCUGCAAAUCUCAAAAAGUGGUCGUAGUUCGGAUUGGAGUCUGUAACCCGACUCCAUGAAGUUGGAUUCGCUAGUAAUCGCGCAUCAGCCAUGGCGCGGUGAAUACGUUCCCGGGCC
rnacentral:rRNA from 1 species